rnacentral:rRNA from 1 species
GGUUAAGCGACUAAGCGUACACGGUGGAUGCCCUGGCAGUCAGAGGCGAUGAAGGACGUGCUAAUCUGCGAUAAGCGUCGGUAAGGUGAUAUGAACCGUUAUAACCGGCGAUUUCCGAAUGGGGAAACCCAGUGUGUUUCGACACACUAUCAUUAACUGAAUCCAUAGGUUAAUGAGGCGAACCGGGGGAACUGAAACAUCUAAGUACCCCGAGGAAAAGAAAUCAACCGAGAUUCCCCCAGUAGCGGCGAGCGAACGGGGAGCAGCCCAGAGCCUGAAUCAGUGUGUGUGUUAGUGGAAGCGUCUGGAAAGGCGCGCGAUACAGGGUGACAGCCCCGUACACAAAAAUGCACAUGCUGUGAGCUCGAUGAGUAGGGCGGGACACGUGGUAUCCUGUCUGAAUAUGGGGGGACCAUCCUCCAAGGCUAAAUACUCCUGACUGACCGAUAGUGAACCAGUACCGUGAGGGAAAGGCGAAAAGAACCCCGGCGAGGGGAGUGAAAAAGAACCUGAAACCGUGUACGUACAAGCAGUGGGAGCACGCUUAGGCGUGUGACUGCGUACCUUUUGUAUAAUGGGUCAGCGACUUAUAUUCUGUAGCAAGGUUAACCGAAUAGGGGAGCCGAAGGGAAACCGAGUCUUAACUGGGCGUUAAGUUGCAGGGUAUAGACCCGAAACCCGGUGAUCUAGCCAUGGGCAGGUUGAAGGUUGGGUAACACUAACUGGAGGACCGAACCGACUAAUGUUGAAAAAUUAGCGGAUGACUUGUGGCUGGGGGUGAAAGGCCAAUCAAACCGGGAGAUAGCUGGUUCUCCCCGAAAGCUAUUUAGGUAGCGCCUCGUGAAUUCAUCUCCGGGGGUAGAGCACUGUUUCGGCAAGGGGGUCAUCCCGACUUACCAACCCGAUGCAAACUGCGAAUACCGGAGAAUGUUAUCACGGGAGACACACGGCGGGUGCUAACGUCCGUCGUGAAGAGGGAAACAACCCAGACCGCCAGCUAAGGUCCCAAAGUCAUGGUUAAGUGGGAAACGAUGUGGGAAGGCCCAGACAGCCAGGAUGUUGGCUUAGAAGCAGCCAUCAUUUAAAGAAAGCGUAAUAGCUCACUGGUCGAGUCGGCCUGCGCGGAAGAUGUAACGGGGCUAAACCAUGCACCGAAGCUGCGGCAGCGACGCUUAUGCGUUGUUGGGUAGGGGAGCGUUCUGUAAGCCUGUGAAGGUGUACUGUGAGGUAUGCUGGAGGUAUCAGAAGUGCGAAUGCUGACAUAAGUAACGAUAAAGCGGGUGAAAAGCCCGCUCGCCGGAAGACCAAGGGUUCCUGUCCAACGUUAAUCGGGGCAGGGUGAGUCGACCCCUAAGGCGAGGCCGAAAGGCGUAGUCGAUGGGAAACAGGUUAAUAUUCCUGUACUUGGUGUUACUGCGAAGGGGGGACGGAGAAGGCUAUGUUGGCCGGGCGACGGUUGUCCCGGUUUAAGCGUGUAGGCUGGUUUUCCAGGCAAAUCCGGAAAAUCAAGGCUGAGGCGUGAUGACGAGGCACUACGGUGCUGAAGCAACAAAUGCCCUGCUUCCAGGAAAAGCCUCUAAGCAUCAGGUAACAUCAAAUCGUACCCCAAACCGACACAGGUGGUCAGGUAGAGAAUACCAAGGCGCUUGAGAGAACUCGGGUGAAGGAACUAGGCAAAAUGGUGCCGUAACUUCGGGAGAAGGCACGCUGAUAUGUAGGUGAAGUCCCUCGCGGAUGGAGCUGAAAUCAGUCGAAGAUACCAGCUGGCUGCAACUGUUUAUUAAAAACACAGCACUGUGCAAACACGAAAGUGGACGUAUACGGUGUGACGCCUGCCCGGUGCCGGAAGGUUAAUUGAUGGGGUCAGCGCAAGCGAAGCUCUUGAUCGAAGCCCCGGUAAACGGCGGCCGUAACUAUAACGGUCCUAAGGUAGCGAAAUUCCUUGUCGGGUAAGUUCCGACCUGCACGAAUGGCGUAAUGAUGGCCAGGCUGUCUCCACCCGAGACUCAGUGAAAUUGAACUCGCUGUGAAGAUGCAGUGUACCCGCGGCAAGACGGAAAGACCCCGUGAACCUUUACUAUAGCUUGACACUGAACAUUGAGCCUUGAUGUGUAGGAUAGGUGGGAGGCUUUGAAGUGUGGACGCCAGUCUGCAUGGAGCCGACCUUGAAAUACCACCCUUUAAUGUUUGAUGUUCUAACGUUGACCCGUAAUCCGGGUUGCGGACAGUGUCUGGUGGGUAGUUUGACUGGGGCGGUCUCCUCCUAAAGAGUAACGGAGGAGCACGAAGGUUGGCUAAUCCUGGUCGGACAUCAGGAGGUUAGUGCAAUGGCAUAAGCCAGCUUGACUGCGAGCGUGACGGCGCGAGCAGGUGCGAAAGCAGGUCAUAGUGAUCCGGUGGUUCUGAAUGGAAGGGCCAUCGCUCAACGGAUAAAAGGUACUCCGGGGAUAACAGGCUGAUACCGCCCAAGAGUUCAUAUCGACGGCGGUGUUUGGCACCUCGAUGUCGGCUCAUCACAUCCUGGGGCUGAAGUAGGUCCCAAGGGUAUGGCUGUUCGCCAUUUAAAGUGGUACGCGAGCUGGGUUUAGAACGUCGUGAGACAGUUCGGUCCCUAUCUGCCGUGGGCGCUGGAGAACUGAGGGGGGCUGCUCCUAGUACGAGAGGACCGGAGUGGACGCAUCACUGGUGUUCGGGUUGUCAUGCCAAUGGCACUGCCCGGUAGCUAAAUGCGGAAGAGAUAAGUGCUGAAAGCAUCUAAGCACGAAACUUGCCCCGAGAUGAGUUCUCCCUGACUCCUUGAGAGUCCUGAAGGAACGUUGAAGACGACGACGUUGAUAGGCCGGGUGUGUAAGCGCAGCGAUGCGUUGAGCUAACCGGUACUAAUGAACCGUGAGGCUUAACCUU